GGGGAAUAUUGCGCAAUGGGGGAAACCCUGACGCAGCAACGCCGCGUGAAGGAUGAAGGUCUUCGGAUUGUAAACUUCUUUGAUGAGGGACGAAUAAUGACGGUACCUCUAAAACAAGCCACGGCUAACUACGUGCCAGCAGCCGCGGUAAUACGUAGGUGGCGAGCGUUGUCCGGAAUUACUGGGUGUAAAGGGCGUGUAGGCGGGGAUGCAAGUCAGAUGUGAAAUCCUGAAGCUCAACUUCAGAGCUGCAUCUGAAACUGUGUUUCUUGAGUGCUGGAGAGGAAAGCGGAAUUCCUAGUGUAGCGGUGAAAUGCGUAGAUAUUAGGAGGAACACCAGUGGCGAAGGCGGCUUUCUGGACAGUAACUGACGCUGAGGCGCGAAAGCGUGGGGAGCAAAC
rnacentral:rRNA from 1 species